rnacentral:lncRNA from 1 species
GUGGCCCCGAGCUUGUUCCUCAUUAUUUCCAGCAAACCCCGUCUCUGUCUACUUACCUCCUUCCUUAACAACCUUUUCCCAACCAAUUCUUUCUGCACCCCUAGAAAAAUUGAAUUCUGCAAAUGCGAAAGGAAAGGAAAUGGGUAUCUGCUCAGUGCUGAUUUCAGAGAGUGUCUGCAAAGUUUUUCUCUUUUUCACAGAUACUGCACUGAAGACUCGGAUGGUUUGAGCCGCUGGAGCCCGCAAAUUCAGGCACCUCCUCCACCCCAGGACACUCUACUCCCCCGUGCUGCCUCCCACACCCAUCCGGUUGUGCGGGACACUCCCUGCGUUUCUUCGGCAAGUCUCAUCAGGCUCCCUCCUUGUUCGAUAAAGCCCGACCCAGGUGCCAGGCUUCUGACUCAGGACCAUCUGUGGGUGCCAGUGCAGGGAGGUAGCCAACAUGCAAGAAGAGACAGAGGGGCUCCCAGCAUGGUGCCUGACACCUGGAGACAACCAAUACUUACUGCACGGGUGAAUGAAGGAAAUGCGUACUUGGCUCCAGAAUCGUCCAUCGCUGGCUGGCACAGUGUUCCGUUGCUCAGAGGGUUGUGUGGGUUAAUUGGCUGUGUCUCGGGUUCACCCCUGCACAAGGAGAAAAAUGAUGACUGCCCUGUGCAACCCUGGGUCAUCUCAGGCGAGAGCUAUUCCCAGGUUCAUAGCAAGCACUCUUGUUACUCAGACGGGCCGCCUGCAUCAAGCCCCGAGGAAGCACUUAUUAGUCCAAAAAAACCAAAAAACAAAAAGCCAGAAAACAGCCAGUGAGACUAUUUUACAAACAAGUGAAGAAUAGCAACUGAAAGCAACAAUAACUACAACAUAAAUCCCUCCACAAAUACUUGGGAUUUCAUUUCCACUAAGGAUAAUGAUAGCGUAGAAGGCAUGUUUGUGGGAGUUAUGUACACAGGGAAAAAGGUGAUGAAAAUAAUAAACCAACAAAUAAACAAAAUUCAAUUAAUCAAAACAGGAAAAAAUAAAAUGAGCCAACCAGCGUAUCUGAAUGUAAGCGUAAUAAUUGUCAUUGGACAAACCUUUGCCAAAUCAAAUUGGCUUCUAGCACACAGACUGUACUUUGUGAUGUAAGCGGUGUUCUACCCACAUAAUUCGUUUAGUUGCAAAGAAUGUAACAAAUAAUGCAAUUAUUACAGAGGAUCAUGGUGAGACAUCUAUUUGGCAGUGACUUAAGCAGAAUGCCCCGAUUCAGAAGAAUUAGACCAGUCUCUGGAUUUACGGCCACUCAUGAAAACUGCAGUGAAUCUCUGGAUUUACAGCCACUCAUGAAAACUGCACUAACUCUUGGGACAUCUGGGUUCCUUGUCUUUUGUCAAAAUCACAGGGAAUUCAACUCACUGAAUCUGUUGGUCAAUUCAAUUCCGCCAUUGGUCAGUAUGACUUGGCUUUUGACAGAGAGUUUUACUCAAAGACUUGCAGAACUUCCUUCCUUCAAGAUUUCAGAAGCACAGCAAGCAUUGCAAAAGGAAACUACCUUAUAAAUCAUACAAACCCAGCAUCGUGUUCUUUGCUUGUCCUUCCCUGAAUUUACUGGAAAAUUAUGUUGUGAAACCUAAAUGCAAAUGAAUCUUUCGUAUUGCAAAUUAAAAACAAAAUCCAUUUUCAUCUGAAUUCAAUGGGAAAACAAAAAUUAUUUUCUUAAAAAGUAAAUAUCCACCACUCCGUAAUAACUGUGAUCCGCUACGGCUUAUUUAUCACAUCUGGGGCCAUGGACUCGGUCCUCUGCAUACCUUACCUCUCAUCCUGCAAUAAUCCUGAACGGGUUCCCAUUACCCCCAUUUGAGAGAUAAGAAAAACACAGCUCUAAGGUUCUGAGUAACAAUCCCAAAGCCAGAAAUUGUUGCAAUCUUUACUUGUAGGUUCCAUGAAGGAAGACUCCUCAUUGCUUGCUCAGAACACAACAGGGUAAAUGUCAACUCUUUGCAAAUGUCAUUCUUAGCAAUUCCUUAAAAACAGUAACUCCUAGAUUGCAGUACUGCUGAAAGUUUUUAAGGAAACUCACAAGCUUAAAGAAAUGGCCGUGGGAUACCUGGGUAAGAGCUUCCCCACUUUCUUAUCCAGGAGCCUCUCUUCCAGGUGUUACCCUAGGCUGGUCAUGAAGAUACGUCCACCCUUUUUUUUUUUUUUCAAGUUACAGAGUUGCAAAUAUUGUAAUAUUUUAAAUGGAUAAACCCAAGUUAUUUGAAUGUCAUCUUUAAAGUUUUUG